AACGAACGCUGGCGGCAUGCCUAACACAUGCAAGUCGAACGAGACCUUCGGGUCUAGUGGCGCACGGGGGCGUAACGCGUGGGAACCUGCCCUUAGGUUCGGAAUAACUCCCCGAAAGGUGUGCUAAUACCGGUUAGUGUAUUCGGACCAAAGAUUUAUCGCCUUUGGAUGGGCCCUCGUUGGAUUCGCUAGUUGGUAGGGUAAAAGCCUACCAAGGCGACGAUCCAUAGCUGGUCUGAGAGGAUGCUCAGCCACACUGGGACUGAGACACGGCCCAGACUGCUACGGAAGGCAGCAGUGGGGAAUAUUGGACAAUGGGCGAAAGCCUGAUCCAGCCAUGCCGCGUGAGUGAUGAAGGCCUUAGGGUUGUAAAGCUCUUUUACACGGGAUGAUAAUGACAGUACCGGGAGAAUAAGCACCGGCUAACUCCGUG
rnacentral:rRNA from 1 species